GGUGUUUUUUUCUCUAAGCUGUGUCCUCAUUAACCUCAUUUCUCGGCUCCGCCGGGUGAAAGGCGCGGACCCCCGCAUUAUGGGAGCUGUCAGCGGCUGGGCGCGGAAAAUGAGUGUCAAGGAGGAGCGGGAGAAAGGGCCGCACAAUGGCGCCUUUCUCCCCCGGCCCUGCGGGGGGGCCCUUUCACACGGGCCGCGGCGGGGCCCCCGGCCGGGCGGGCUCGGAGGGAGGGGCUGGGGACGGCGGGACGGGGGGAACCGGCUGGCGGAGCCCCUGGACGCGGCCCGCAGGAGCCGACCGCCCUGUGCCGGGGCGGCUCCGCGCCCCCCCGGGGCUCUGCCCCCUCCCGAGGGCAGCCCCGACGGCCGCUUGGCCCCGGCCCCGCCGCUGGCCGCGCAGCGCCCGCCCCCGGCCGGUCCGGCCCGAGCGCGGCCCCCGGGAGGGUCCCGGUCCCGCAGGUGGGGGCGGCUGGGCGGGUCCCCGGGCUGGGGCGGGGCUGAGCGGAGGCACCUGGGCCCCCCCAGCAGGCGCAGCUCCCGUCGCAGCAGAGGCCGCCAGACCGCGCCCGUAAAAACCUCCUUUCUGGCUCCGGAGCCAUUCACACCCAGAUGAGAAACUCAAAACGAUCUGGACCCCCUGAGCCAUCCCCAUCCCUCCACGAACUCCAGUUUUUUGGUACAAAAUAUAUAUAUAUAAAAAUAGACUAAGUUUCUAGGCAAGAUGGCUGAAUUGGCCACCUCUUCCAGUCCAAUGGAAAACAACAAGUAUGCUUAACCAGAUUAUGCCUGGAGAAAAUAUCCAUUCAAUAUACAAAUACUGCAGGACUUUCACAUUGGAAACCCCUUAGAAAAUGACAAGUGACAAACCUCUAAUUGGCUGUUUGACACAUGCUGAACACCCCGACCCAUAGCAGCAAACUUAAAAUAAAAGGAAAAAGGUAGACCUUGAAUGCUAAUGGUACUGACUGGUAAACAGGGUCUGCAGCGGCUUUCAACCCCUGCUCACUAAACAUUACAGUAAAUCACAUUAUGUGCCUUUGAGAGGCAACUCCAACAGGGACCCUUCGCUCAGACACCCCAGCGCUGCCGGGACAGCCGAGAUCCCGAAACACAAUGACGGGAAGAGGCAGGGGAAGGAGCACAGGAGGAGGGGAACGUCAAAAAAACUCCUGGAUCAUCGUCUUCAUCAUCCUUAGACCUUUGGGAUUGAACCAGCUGGUGAGCAAAAGGCACAAUAGCAAUGGUGACCGCAGAGUCCUGCUGCUGGCGGGAGGGGACGCGCCUGGCAAGGCGGGUGAUGGAGGGAAGGCUCUUGCUGUCGGGAUCUGUGUUCCCCUAGGCACAAGCCCGGGCCCAGUGAUUGCUCACCCAGCCGGGAGGCAGGAACGAGUCUCUGCAUGGAGAAAUGCAUCUGAGCUCCGACGGGGGCUCUGGAGGGAGCGGCCAUCUCAGAGCCAGCGUGCAGUGAGUGCAGCCCCCGCCGUGGUGGAACGCAGCCCCCGCCGCUGCAGCUCGUCUCCUGCACCCUCUGUGGAUGCUUGAUGUCCAGCCCCUCUUCAGAGCAUCCUCAGGUGCUUUGCACCCCCCCAGGGACACCAACAUCCACAUCCUGCCACUCUGAGCAAGACCAUCCCUGCCGGACCGGCUGCCUCCUGGUGGGCAUCCCUCCGCUGGCCUCGGCAUGGCGGCUGGGCUCCGUCUGACAGCUGGGCGUCCUGCUGGGGACCAGGGCACUUCUCCCCACUGGUGUCACAGCUGUCCCCAGGACCCUGUGACCAACCCGCUUUGCAUAGGCACAAACCUGUUGUGGGACCGGAGUCGCAGACGAGGCUGAGAUGGGGACGGUCCGAAAGGCACAUCAUUGUCAUUCAGUUUGGAUUUGCAAAGGCCAAGCAGCAAACAUUUGGUGUGUGUGGGAGAGCACUACCCCUGUGCUCCCAGAUUCCUCUGUUCUUCUCCCAAAACGCUCAUAUCGCCAGCACAAGCACACCCAGAAGAGACCAUUCUGCUGACACAGGAUAACGUUUCCUUGGACUGUUCGAAGCAACAGUGGCUCAUUUGGCAAAGCUAAAACUAGAAGGCAAACACCACAGACGGUGACAUUUUGGCAUCCUGGAGCUCAAUGGAAUCUCUGUCCUUGGGAACCUCCUCCCUGGCCAGGGCUCCCUCCGCUCCUCGGGCAGAGCGAUGCCCAGCGCUGGCCGGUGCUGCGCCCGGUCUCUGCAGAGCCCCUGCCCCAGGCUGCCGAUGCUGUGACAUGGUGACAUUCAAGGCUUGCCCGGCUGCCCUGGGGCACAGCUCCUGUGGUGACACACCGCCUGCUCACCCGCACACUGUCGGCCCUCACAGGACGCCGUGCUCAGCUCCGUAACACGACAAACGCAAAGCCACGACCAACGGGAUGGCUGAGGAUUAAAUACAAGAGCUAAGGGAGCACAGGAGCCUGUCCUGGCAGAGGCUGCAGCCGCCGCUCAUGGAACCAUCACCCAUCCCUCGAAGAACCGGGCAGCACGUGCAGCCAGCGCUGGCUUUUUGUUUCCCCUGAGAACCGCACGGCCGCCAGCCCACGGCAGCAAAUGCAAUGCAGUGGGCUGAUGCAUUGGCGGGGUCAGAAGUACCUGCACCCCCAGUUUGGUCCAUUUAUCUCCACAUUCCUUUGUGUGAUGACGCUGCGAGUGCCCUCGCCUGUGGCAAAGUGAGAUUCCCAUCCUGGUGCCAGGUCAGUCACCUGGCGAGGGUGACCGCGACACAGCGCCGUCCACGCACAGAGCCAGCAGCCACCAAGGAGCCGCUGGCGGGACAGCCCUCGGGCACCUCCUGACCGUGCAGCGAGGCCUCGCGGGGUACAGCUUCCCACCUCCUCCAGGAACCGAGUUCAGCAUUCACAGAACCACCGUGACCUCGAAUACUACUGAACUCUGCCUGAACUGCUGCCGUCGCUUUGGCUUGUAAGAGAAACCCCUAGCAGGGAAAAAGGCGUCCGUCAAAGAGCUGUUAUCGGUUGCAAUCACAAGCCAAAAGGAACCCACCGGCUGCUGCACAGGGCGGUGGGAUGAAGGUGAGCAGCUGCCGCGGGCCCUGCGGGGAACGGCGGCAUGAGGCACCGGGGCCCGGCAGGAGCCAGCCCGGGCAGCAAGGCGAUGCCCACGGCCAGUCGCCUUUUGCUUUGAAAGAGGCACCUUUGUUGCCCGUCUCAUCGGUGGCACCCAGGAUUCAGUCUGCCCUAAACUGCUUUUAUUACCCUCCUCAAAAAAAAGGAUUUUGUCCUUAAUAAAAAAAUGUAAACAAUAUUUCCCUAUCAGCUGGAAACCACAACAGAAACGUCGUGGACUUCACCAUCAUUGGAAGUGACCUCGCCCAGGGGGGUGGCUGGGCAGAACGUACCCUGAAAAAACCCUGUUACAGUUGCCCCCCAGCAGCCCCCAUGGGCUGGGAGCAGCAGCUGCCUCGUUUGGAUUGAUUUGCAAUUCCCUACGGCGAAUUGGUGGCUCAGACAGAUUCACAGGGAGCCCAGAGGGAAGAAAAGGAUCUCCUCCUCCUUUCCCGGCUAUCAGCCUGGCUCGUCGCAGCUCCGCACCCUCUCCCUGCUGCCGGAGAGCCACACACUUUGUGAUCUGCCAUUUCAAGCUGUAAAGCAAAGAAAUCCGUGUACAGUGAAGCCUGGCUCAAAACUUGCCAGCCCGGCACCCCGGCAGCGCCGAUGCCCCUGCUCCCCGAGAACGGCAGCGGCCACCUCUGCUCGGGGCGCCGCUCCGGGGGAGGAUGGAGAGAAGCUGGGACGGAUCCAUCGACCCGCUGGCAGUUCAGAGCAGGUUUCACCACGUCUUUCUCGAGCCUCUCUGGACACAAGUCCCAGCAGGUCUCGUGUGUUCACUUUUAGAAAGAAAAACCUGAUGGAGGAGCUGGGCAAAGCUGAGGGAGAGGCUGAAGGGCACUGUCCCUCCUCUCAUGCUUCUGGGCUCAGUAUUGCCGUAGGUUGAAAAACCCGACGCUGGUGGGGGACUCCUUGACCGUCACGGUGAUCAGAUUAGCAGUGACAUCGGUGACAAAGACGUGCUCGAUCAGGCUGCGGGUGGGUUUCCAGUCCUGGCUGGUCUGGAUAGAGACAGACAUGUUCUGCCCCACGCCAGGGAAGGAUGCGGAAUCCUGGUCCGAAUCCGAGCUGCUCUCUUCGCCUGUGCUCACUUCAGAAAGCGCGGCGGGCUUGCGGAUCUCCGCAGCCGUGUGCCCCUCCUGAGUGCCGGCCGUGCCGCUCUUGGCCAAGUCCCUGUCGCCUGCCCGCAGCGCCUGCUUCUCGCUCUUGCCGCCAUCCCCCCCCAGCACCACACCGGCGCUGGCAGCAUUCAGCCCGGCACCCACCGCGCCACCCUUUGUGCCGGCGGCACCACCGCUUGCUGCUGUGCCGCUGCCGGAGCCUUUGGACAGGGCGCUGCAAAGGUGACGGGGGAGGCUGCUCCCGCCAGCCGUGCUCAGCCCAUUUUUGACGCUCUGCAGGUUUAGAGCUUGGAGGUUCAGCUCCUGGCUGGAGGCUGCCUGGCUGCCGGCCCCGGACGAGCUCGCCGGCAUCUUGCUGCCAUUGUGCAGCGUUUGGCCUCCUGCAGCAAACCCCGAUUUCUGGUCCCCUCCAGCGCUGCUGCUGGGAGCCUUGGCAGUUUUGGGUCCCUGCACGCUUGGCCCAAACUCCCCAGAUCCUUUCUGGUUCCUCAUUUUUAAGUCCAGCCCUAAGCCACUCUUACUGGCUGCCUGGGACUUCAGUGCCAGCCUGCCCAGGGGGGAGGUCUCUGCCGAGUUCUGGCUUUGGGACAUCCUGUUCAUGUAGUGCACGAUGGAGCUCUGCCAGCUGAUGGCGCGGGUUGGGCUCGCGGAGCCGCUCUUCAUCAUGCUGGGCAGGUUUUCUGCAGCUGAACCCCCCGAGCUGAGCCCGGCCAAGGCCCCUGGCGGGUCCUUCAGCCCGGCCGUGCCCGAGCCCUGGGCGCUGUGCUGGGGCUGCAGCUUCCCCAGCAGCUUGGCGCUGCCGCCCGCCUCCUUCCGAGACGUUUUCAGCACCUUUGUCAGGUUCACGGUCCUUCGAGCCGCUUUCUGCUCCGGGGGAAGAGGUUUCCGCCCACGCUUCUUCCUGGAGGUGUCUUUCAUUUCGGGCUUUGCCACCAGGAUCUGAGCUUUCUUCUGCGGUACCGGGUGAGUCUCUCUGCCGCGGGGACCUCUCUUAGCGUCCAGGUCACUCUCAUCCUCUUCAUCAGAGGAGGAGGAAGAGGAGGAUGUGGAGGAAGAGGAGCUACUUGACUUAGUUUUUGCGGGCAUCUCUGGUUCCUGCCAAGCAAGAGAGAGAGAGACAGGAAAAGAGUUAACACAAAUUACCAAAGAAGAGUUAUGGGCACUGCAAACCCUUCCGUGUUGCCUGGCCGGGUGCCUCAGACACACACAGGCUCCCCCAUGUGUGCUGAUCUGCCAGAAAACAAGUGGGAGAGCGAACAGCACAAAACCAACCAGGCUUAAAUAUCAGGCAGGACCCUUGGGCCAGGAAACUCUUCAGUCCCUUCCACACCACCAGAGUGAUGAAGAGACGUUCUCCUCAUCCACCCACCCACCACUGCAGCCUUCAGAGCCCCUCGUGCGGGGUCUGCGGGCGUCACCGUGUCCUCAGCACCCGCCGGAGCCCGAGCAUCUGCCGUGCCCUGCACUGGUGCCUUCCAAAGCCCGAGCCCCCUCAGCUCCGUCGUGGCCAUGGAUUUCCACCUCCACCGGGACUCACCACAUGUUUCCUGGGCCUGCCCCUGGGUCGCUUCCCCCUCUUCCGAUUCUGUGCUUCUUUUUCAUGUUCCCUGAGAAAACAACGAUUAAGUCAUGGGCGGUGACAGCAGAGCAUCCCUGCUUGCUACGCUAACAUCCCCACAGCAAGAAGCUCCCAGCGGUCAGUGACGGACCACAAGAGCGUUACUCAUCCCAAGUCAGUGGCUCUCCCAGUUCAUGGUGAGGUUUGCAGUCUCUCUAGUACAGCAGGAUCAGGCAAACAGAUGUGCCCGUCCCUGCCAAGCCUCGCCUCCCUCAGGCGCUGGCGGCGCGGAGCUUCCCCGCGCUCACAGGGCAGCGGCGCAGCCUCCAGGCGCAGGAGAAGCGAACGCGCUCCUGGAAACUCUGCGAGUUCUCUCCUUCGCGGGGCUCAUUUCAUCUGUCCCGCAUGUCCUGGCCCAAACGCGGUGGCCCAGGCUGACAGCCACGCAAAGCCCGAGGCGGCUGUACGGGGAAUGCUUUCAGGUCACUAUACUAGUUUUGUAAUUCUCCGUUUAAAAAGGAUGGUGUUAAGCUGUAAUACAUCUGGCUAAUUAAACGCCGUGCUGUCUGCACUAA